rnacentral:pre_miRNA from 1 species
CGGACAUUUGCAUACCUGGUUGUAGUCGAACCAAAUUGUUAUGUUUUUUAAAUCAAUUGGUCCCCUUCAACCAGCUAUGUUUCUCCUGCUGU